rnacentral:rRNA from 1 species
UCGUGCCUACGGGGGGCAGCAGUAGGGAAUUUUCGUCAAUGGGCGCAAGCCUGAACGAGCAAUGCCGCGUGAACGAGGAAGGUCUUCGGAUCGUAAAGUUCUGUUGAAGGGGAAAAAGAGCGGAGAGAGGAAAUGGUCUCCGAUUGAUAUUACCCUUCGAGGAAGUCACGGCUAACUACGUGCCAGCAGCCGCGGUAAUACGUAGGUGGCGAGCGUUAUCCGGAAGGAUUGGGCGUAAAGGGUGCGUAGGCGGCCUGCUAAGUCUGGAGCGAAAGGUACAGGCUCAACCGGGA